AGCGAACGCUGGCGGCAGGCCUAACACAUGCAAGUCGAGCGCCCCGCAAGGGGAGCGGCAGACGGGAGAGUAACACGUGGGAACGUACCCUUCAGUUCGGAACAACCCAGGGAAACUUGGGCUAAUACCGGAUACGUCCGUAAGGAGAAAGAUUUAUCGCUGAAGGAUCGGCCCGCGUCUGAUUAGCUAGUUGGUGAGGUAACGGCUCACCAAGGCGACGAUCAGUAGCUGGUCUGAGAGGAUGAUCAGCCUCACUGGGACUGAGACACGGCCCAGACUCCUACGGGAGGCAGCAGUGGGGAAUAUUGGACAAUGGGCGCAAGCCUGAUCCAGCCAUUCCGCGUGCAGGAUG
rnacentral:rRNA from 1 species